UACGUAGGGUGCAAGCGUUGUCCGGAAUUAUUGGGCGUAAAGAGCUCGUAGGCGGUUUGUCGCGUCUGCUGUGAAAUCCGGAGGCUCAACCUCCGGCCUGCAGUGGGUACGGGCAGACUAGAGUGCGGUAGGGGAGAUUGGAAUUCCUGGUGUAGCGGUGGAAUGCGCAGAUAUCAGGAGGAACACCGGUGGCGAAGGCGGGACUCUGGGCCGAUACUGACGCUGAGGAGCGAAAGCGUGGGGAGCAAACAGG
rnacentral:rRNA from 1 species